rnacentral:rRNA from 1 species
UACGUAGGGUGCAAGCGUUAAUCGGAAUUACUGGGCGUAAAGGGCGCGUAGGCGGUACUUCAAGUCAGGCGUGAAAGCCCCGGGCUCAACCUGGGAACCGCGCUUGAGACUGGGGAACUAGAGUUCGGGAGAGGAUGGUGGAAUUCCCAGUGUAGAGGUGAAAUGCGUAGGAGAUGUGGAGGAACACCGAGGCGAAGGCAGCCUCC